rnacentral:tmRNA from 1 species
GGGGAUGAAAGGCCUCGACAGUUGAGGUACUCCAUAAUACGCGAUGCAGAGCUCCGCUAACUCUUUAAUCUGGCGGAAAUCGUAACUGCAAAAUCAGUAGUUGCAAAGGCAAUGUCCAUCGUGUCUCCAUUUUAUGGAGCGCAGGAUAUUGCUCCCGCUUACGCUCUCGCUUAACCGCGGACCCUAGACGGCAUUCGGCAUCUUUCUCCGGAAAGGAUGUUCGGGUGAUAUAACCCCCGGAUAAGAUCAUGAAGCUUUCCACUUCAUGAUUCGAAAACUCAGGAAUCGCCGGCGCAUGUUUUGUCUGCUUUCAAGUGCGCUGGUUAAAAGGAGGCGACUCCGGUAAAGCUUACUAGGCAUCGUAGAAAUAUUAUGAAACUUCAUCUGCACGGCGGUUCGAAUCCGCCCAUCUCCACAG